rnacentral:rRNA from 1 species
AGAGUUUGAUCCUGGCUCAGAACGAACGCUGGCGGCGUGGAUAAGACAUGCAAGUCGAACGAGACUUUUCGUUGUAGCAAUACGAUGGAAAGUUUAGUGGCGAACGGGUGCUUAACACGUGGGCAACCUGCCAUGAAGUGGGGGAUAGCUCGCCGAAAGGCGAAUUAAUACCGCAUAUGAUUAGAGAGGACAUCCUUUCGAAAUUAAAGUCGGGGCGACCUGACGCUUCUUGUGGGGCCCGCGGCCUAUCAGCUAGUUGGUGAGGUAACGGCUCACCAAGGCUUUGACGGGUAGCUGGUCUGAGAGGACGACCAGCCACACUGGGACUGAGACACGGCCCAGACACCUACGGGUGGCAGCAGUCGAGAAUUUUUGACAAUGGGGGAAACCCUGAUCGAGCGACGCCGCGUGGAGGAUGAAGGUCUUCGGAUUGUAAACUCCUGUCAUUGGGGAACAAGGUGCAUAUGUUAACUGCGUGUGCAUUGAUAGUACCCGAGGAGGAAGAGACGGCUAACUCUGUGCCAGCCGCCGCGGUAAUAC